AGAGUUGAUCAUGGCUCAGGAUGAACGCUAGCGGCAGGCUUAAUACAUGCAAGUCGAGGGGCAGCAUGGUGUAGCAAUACACUGAUGGCGACCGGCAAACGGGUGCGGAACACGUACAGAACCUUCCUUCGAGCGGGGAAUAGCCCAGAGAAAUUUGGAUUAAUACCCCAUAGUACCUUGAGGCGGCAUCGUUUUAAUGUUAAAGAUUUAUCACUUGAAGAUGGCUGUGCGGCUGAUUAGGUAGUUGGCGGGGUAACGGCCCACCAAGCCUGCGAUCAGUAACUGGUGUGAGAGCACGACCAGUCACACGGGCACUGAGACACGGGCCCGACUCCUACGGGAGGCAGCAGUAAGGAAUAUUGGUCAAUGGACGAAAGUCUGAACCAGCCAUGCCGCGUGGAGGAUGAAGGUCCUCUGGAUUGUAAACUUCUUUUAUAUGGGACGAAAAAAGGGCUUUCUAGCUCGUCUGACGGUACCAUAUGAAUAAGCACCGGCUAACUCCGUG
rnacentral:rRNA from 1 species